rnacentral:rRNA from 1 species
AUUGAACGCUGGCGGCAGGCUUAACACAUGCAAGUCGAGCGGGCGAGGUUGCUUCGGUAACUGAGCUAGCGGCGGACGGGUGAGUAAAGCUUAGGAAUCUGCCUAUUAGUGGGGGACAACAUUCCGAAAGGGAUGCUAAUACCGCAUACGUCCUACGGGAGAAAGCAGGGGCUCACUUGUGACCUUGCGCUAAUAGAUGAGCCUAAGUCGGAUUAGCUAGUUGGUGGGGUAAAGGCCUACCAAGGCGACGAUCUGUAGCGGGUCUGAGAGGAUGAUCCGCCACACUGGGACUGAGACACGGCCCAGACUCCUACGGGAGGCAGCAGUGGGGAAUAUUGGACAAUGGGGGGAACCCUGAUCCAGCCAUGCCGCGUGUGUGAAGAAGGCCUUUUGGUUGUAAAGCACUUUAAGUGGGGAGGAGGCUCUCUUGGUUAAUACCUAAGAAGAGUGGACGUUACCCACAGAAUAAGCCACGGCUAACUACGUGCCAGCCGCCGCAGUAA